AACAAGCCCUAGAAAUCACAUCUGCAGAAAAGCUCCUCAGGUCUUCAUCCACCGCUAUCUCCGCCAUUUCCCCGCCUUGCGCUUCAAUCGCCUCGUCCCAUUUUCUUGCCAAUAGCUCCGCCGAUUCCAGCAUCAGGUACCUUGACUUUGUCCAUGAAGAAUUCUGGUGCUAUAAUCUUCCUCUGAAGUGCCCACAUAUGGCCAUUUGACCUCAAAAGUCCAUUCCCAAGCAUGGGGGAAAGUCUCUUGGUGACAUAAGAUGGCUUCCCCAACUCCAUACUACUCUUCUGGUUCAUCUCCUUUACCAAUUCUGCCUUGUUCACAUACAAAUGCUGCUUGUUCCCUGUUGAAUAUGUAUAUAUGCAACCUGUAACAACAAACAAUUAAACUUUUGACAUGAACGAAUCCCGAUCACCUCCUCCACAGGUGGGGUUCUCGGGAUUCAGGUGCAAUUCUUUUAA